CUUGCAACUUCCAAUUGUAAACUAUUUGGGUGCUUUGACAUCAAUAUCGGUAUUAGUAAACUACCAUAUUGUUCUGGGGUAACCCCCAGUGCCUCUAACCCGCGUACAUGAACUCGAAUUUUAUCAUAAACAAACCGAAUACACACGUAAAAACGCACAAGUUGUAACAAACCUGCAGCAGACUUGUAGCAAGGCUGUUCAAACAACUUGUCAACAGGAUGUGUUCGCACUGUUUUUUUCCCAGAGUAGUAAUAGGAAGAAAGUAUAGGGAAAAAAAGGGGGGGGGGGAGUGUGAAGCAAUUUUAAAAUAGUAUAAAAAUAUAUGAAAAUAUGUACCGGAAAAAUGUACUGAAAGGGUGAUACUAGUACAUAUUGGACGGGGGGAGUUUUGCAAAGGCGUUACCCCAUAAGUAAUAAGGGUUGCGCAUGCAUGUACAGUACUUUCAUUUUUACCUCCGCACACAUUGCGCAUGCGUAAGGGAGCUCCAAACCCAAAGCCUCGUCGACCGAACUGAUUUGCGAUUUGAAUUUCGCGCGUAUCCAAUUGUGAAAAAGCGGAAGUGGUGUCAUAGCGAAAGCGGAAGUGACGUCAGCAUCGGAAGUGGUGGCGAUUAACAAUAAUUUACCCAGCGAAGAGGAGAAAAUAAUUUAAAAAUAAAUUUUUUCCACCAUUCCGCUGUAAUUUAUUGUUUUUUCUCCUUUCUUUUCUGCUUUUUCUCCUUCCUUUCAUUACAUACUAAAAAAAAAAUGUAAUUUCUGUGUAACCUCUUUCUCCAGAACAUAAAAAAUAUGUCCUGGAGACGAAGUUAAUACAAACAAGACGCCUACUCAGGCGUUCACUCCGCCUGCCGGCCUGCGGAGAAAAUGGGGACAAUGUAGGGUGCGACGGAAAAGUGAAGCCAAAUAUAAGCAUUCAACGACAAGUUGGUGUUCAUAGCAUUCAAAGAUAAGUUGGCAUUCAUGGCAUUCAAGGUUAAGUUGGCAUUCAUGGCAUUCAAAGUUAACUUGGCAUUCAAAGGAGCAAUGGCAUUUACACACUUCUUUGAAUUUUCAUAAGAAAGUGCCAUAACCUAUAAGAGACAGAAAUAGGAUAUUAAUUCUGACACACCAAUUCUGUUUGGACCAUCAUUGUAAUAAUAGAGGCCCAAAAAGCAUGUUUGAGUGGCUUGGUAGGUAUUCUGCCCAGAGUCCUAGUAGAGUUGAAUUAAAUACAUUACACAACACAUAGUAUCUAUUAACACACAAGGGCAGUAGAAAGAGCAAACCAAGCAAACCCAAGCUGGCUGUGAGUUCAAGAAGCUGACGUUUACAGUAACUUUAGGCUUUCAUAUAGCUAUCAUCGGAGACGUAGCAGGGGUUUUUAGUCAGAGGCCGAGAACUGAAUCCCAAGAGGGGCCAAGGAAUUUUCACUGUGCUUUAUUUUAUAUGGUUAUGUCUUAAUUUUCCGGCACACUAAAGCCAGGGUGCGAUAAUUCGCGUACCAACGUACCGGAGGUACGCCAAAUUUAUGGUCUGGUACUUCUUUGUUUUUAGGCAAGUACCACGUAGGUACGCGGAAAUUUG